CCGUAGGAAUAACAUACAAGAAGAAGCAUAUCUUCCAAUGUUCUUUUGUUCAAGGACGUGUUGUUGGAAGAAUCUUCCCUGCUCCAUGUGAGAAUCUUGAUUUGUAUGAUGAUGGAGGAAAACUACUUAGGCAAGCAACAACACAGAAUACGAAGGACUUGGAUUAUGAUGGUUGAGACGAAAGGUGCUUUAUUCCUUAAAUGAAAAUGUUGGUACAACAGCUGAUGGCUCGUCGCCGAUUGGAAGAAUCUUCCCUGCCCCAUGUGAGAAUCUUGAUUUGUAUGAUGAUGGAGGAAAACUACUUAGGCGAGCAACAACUCAGAAUAUGAAGGACCUGGAUUAUGAUGGUUGAGACGAAAGGUGCUCUAUUCUUUAAAUGAAAAUGUUGGCACAACAGCUAAUGGCUCGUCGCCAGCAAC
rnacentral:lncRNA from 1 species